UGGAUGUGGCUCUGGGCAGCCUGGUCUGGUGGUUGGCGACCCUGCACUCAGCAGGGGGAUUGAAACUCGAUGAUCUUUGAGGUCCUGUUCAACCCAGGCCAUUCAAUCAUCCUAUGAUACCCAGGGGUAAGAUUUGUAUCUAAUACUGCUCAGUCUGUAUACAAGCACCCACACACAGUUAACUUGUGAGAUUAUCUGCAGUUGAUUGGAGUGACAAGGAAGUCAACACUUCAAUGAACCUUGCUGGUAAAGUGACUUGCUUCUUUAGCCAUGUUUGUAUGACCACUAAGUUGCACUGCUUUGGGUUUUUAUUGCAAAGAAAGACUACAAAACAAAAGCAGCCAAAAAAGAAAAUGAAUUUAAUAGAACGGCAAUCAGGCUAAACAGGCUUGAAGCAUGUGGCUGCAUUGGUUUAUUCACAUAAAGAUGCUUUGAGAGGUGCUGAGCAAACAGAUGGCACCUACUAACUUUUAACAGCACAAUGCAAAGCAAAACAAUCACACCACAAACUGCAGUGAUCUUCUGCAAUGUGUUUGUAGUGGAAAUGCUAAGUCAUGGCCUGAACCAGUGAUGGAGCACCUGGUGGGAAGGCAGGGCCAACCCAGGGGAGCUCAGGUGCAUGCAAUGAACCUGAGUGAUUGGAAGGGGUGGAGCCAGGAUCCACCCCUUCCAGACCUCAUUUAAGGGUUGGCAGUGGAGAUGAGGGGAUGUUGCUGGAGGUCCUCUAUGUACCAGAGAUCUUCCAAAGCAUCGCUGAGCCAGCCUGCCGGAUCCCAUCUUGCCUGGAGUGCUUUAGAGCUGCCCCUGUACAGAAAACCCAAACCUCUCUCCAGAAAGCUAUAUCCAGAAGAGCCCAGGGAGUGCUCAACACACAAGAACACCUAUGCAGAAUACUUGAGAGCUCCUGUCACAAAAGAUGGAAGGUGCCAGUUCAGAACAUCUUCUCUUUAAGCUAGCCACACAGAGCAGCCACACAGACUGCAUUAGAGGAGGAUGAGUAGCCACAAAUUUUAGUGAUGUUUUGCUGACCUUAGCCUCCAAAAGCUUCUCAGCUCCUCAAAGCACGUUGCUACAGACACACAAAUCAGAGGGUCGCAAAGCGAGGCUAAGUCAAGACUCACCUACUUCCAGCUAAGCACAAGCUGGAUGAGUUACUGAUCGCAAGUCUCCUCUCUGUAGAUUUGAAGGCUUUGCUAUUACUUGUGUAAGAUAAGAAUAUUUUGACUGAAUAGAAAGGGGGAUUACUCAGAGCUAAGGCACAAAGGAAUAAGUAACUUCUGGGAAACUUUCUGCAGGAGCCACUGCCUCCACCUGAAGAAACUGAAGCAGAAGAGAAGACAAGACACAAAACAUACCCAACGAGUUUAUAGACAGGGAGGAGAAAAACUAAACCUUCAAUACAUCCAGAUAAAUGCUUAUCACAUCAGAGUCAAGAGUGGCCACACAGCUGAUUCUGAUCUUGCAAAAAAGAAAUGAUUAACUGCCAUGCAACUUUUCUUAGUUCCUCCUGAUUAAAGGAACAGCAGCUCAUUCCCUUCUGCCAGGGCCACAGAGACAGAACACAAACAUUUUCCCAGGAAAAAGUAAAUUAAAAAAAAAAAUCAUUAAAUGCCCUCUCCUACGCCUUAGCUUUGACUGCUUUAGCCAGAAGGUGCAAGCUACACAAAAUAUGCUUUAUUCUGUUUUCUGCAUAUGUAACAACUCUUCAGCAGGGGACUGAUCUCUUUGGCAGCUACCAAGAAGGAACAGCGGGGCACCACAAUCCAAAUAAUUUGUGAGCAGUUACAACAGCAUAGUGACCUGCAACAAUAUUAGAUAAAACAGGAGGACUUUGUAUAACUGCGCCAGAUGAGACCCACCAGCAUACAGAGAUCUGCAAUACUUCAUCCAGUUCAGCAAGAGAACCAGGACUGUGCUGGUAUGUGGUGGAACAGCAGGUCGCAGCGAGGACAAACAAACGCAGCUAAGCCUCUUGAGCAAUCAGGUGACUGACAAAAAAAAAAAUCUAGAAACAAAUCUGUUUACAGCAUAGCCACUCAACGAACAGGAUGAAUACAAAGGAGCAGUUGCAAAAGUAAGCAAAACCCCUGAAUUUGCAGCUCUCCGCCUGACUUAGGAGUCAGUAGCCACCUACUUUAUAAGAUGCCUUUCCCCAGCUUUCAGCACAAUGUUUUAAGUAAAAGAGAUUAGCAGUGAGCAUAUUCUUCUCUCUCCAAACAGUGUCACAUCCAAUCCUACAGAAAUCAUCCUUUACUUUUGUUAUUAAUAGAAAUCCACUAUGAUGCCAGAAAACAGCUUUUCUUACCGUAGUUACAGGUGAGUCAGGAAUCAAAUCCAUUAGAACACAAUGCCUUUUGCCCCUUCAUAUAGCCUAAAGAAAACAACUGAUUUCUAGCUCAAGAUGGCUGGAAAUAACCAAGACUAAACCUUCCUAAAAGAAGGAAUCAAACUCACUAAGGGAUGCCAGGUAGGCAUCGCAUGGAAGGGCUCCAAAAUAGGACAAGAGGGGAAGGAGGCUGCAUUCCUCAGCCAGAAAACACCACAGACCUAAGGAGUUCCUUAAGCUGUGCCAAAAGCACUGGGCAGCCAGAGGAGCUGUACAAAGGUGAGCCGAGUACUGCACUUGUAUCCCAGUGACUACUGAAGCAUUGCAAGUCAUGCUGCAAGCUGCUGCUUACAAGUUGUCUCCUGACGUUUGACAGAAAGGUAAGAAACUCCUGCAACGUCUUAAAGAAUGAUAAAUACACAGCUUCAAUCUUGAACGUAAUGUUUAACAUUUCAGGAUGACAGCAGAUGAUAUUAUUUUCAAGUGAGAUGGAAACAACUUGUCUGUUGCUCUGACUUCACUGAAGGUGUGGAAUAAGCUAUUGGAUGCUGUGUUGGGGCAAGAAGUCAAGGGAGAGAAAUGGUGUCCCUCCUCUGUUGCUCAGCAGUGCUGCUCUUACCAGCCAAGAGGGAAUGUCAGUCCUUCUGCUUGAACAAAACAUUCACAGCCUCAGCGCUCAGAGGGAUGGAGGAGGUUACUGCCUGUAUUUCCAGAAAUCCACUGCACAGAAAACAAGGGACAUCGCAUUACUACCGGCUUUCAAUGUGAAACAAAUGUGGGUGUUGCAAUUCUGAAAGCUGCAAUAAAAAGAUCGUUUAAACACGUUGAAUUCA